rnacentral:rRNA from 1 species
CACCGCGGUUAAACGAACGAGCCCGAGUUGACAGACCACGGCGUAAAGGGUGACUAAGAAACAACCUCAAAACUAAAGUCGAACACCCCCCACUCCGUGAUACGACCGCGGGGGUAGGAAGCCCAACCACGAAAGUGACUUUAUUUCAUCUUACAUCACGUAAACUGAGAAA